GGUUACAGAGGCCGGGGGUGCUGGGGGGGCCCUGCUUGUUGUGGAGGGGUCCCCAGGCUGAGGGAAUCUCCAGCGCUUCCCAGGUUGGAGGCGUUCGUGAUGGCUGUAGGAGGGGUUCCCAGGCUGAAGAAAUACUACCCGCCGGACUUCGAUCCUGCUAAGAUCCCAAAGCUCAAACUCCCAAAGGACCGACAGUAUGUGGUGCGGCUGAUGGCCCCCUUCAACAUGCGUUGCAAGACGUGUGGUGAAUACAUCUCUAAGGGGAAGAAAUGCCCGUAAGGAGACUGUUCAGAAUGAGGUGUACUUGGGACUUCCCAUCUUCCGCUUCUACGGUGCCCGGCAGAGAUCACUUUCAAGUGGUUCAUAGUGCUGAAGUGUCUCGCCCAGCCGCAGGCAGGGAGUGGCAGCGCGUCAGCUGGAGGAGAAUGAAGGGAACGUGGGUGCCAAGGUCUGCCCUGCGAUAUCUUGAGAACGCCGUGGAGCACAGAGCCGCUUGGAACUUGCAAGCUGAGAAAGUCUUGGAGGAAGAGGAGAAGAUGAUGCAGGAGGAGAGGGGGAAAGGAGGAGAGAAACAAUCCCUGGCAAAAAAAAAAAUCCCUAGGGCGCUAUGAAGGGCAGCAGGGCCCUGCCCAGUCCCCUUCAAAGCCUGGCUGAGCCCCUGGGGAGCUCUGCAGUGCGGAAGGGUCUUGCCUGGACCCGUUAAGCCCGGCCCCAGCCCCGGGGUCUCUCUCUGGCGGGCGGCAGAGCAGCCUGCAGAGCCCGGCCUCAGCCCCGGGGUCUCUGGAGGGAGGCAGGGCAGCCCGUGAAGCCCUGCCCCAGCCCCCAGGGUCUCUGGAGGGAGGCAGGGCAGCCUGUGGAGCCCGGCCCCAGCCCGGGGUGUCUCUCCGGAGGGCGGCAGGGCAGCCUGCGGGGCUCGGCCCGGCCCGGCCCGGUCCCGGGGCUCUGCGGGUCCCGGUACUGCCACUCCCCCCCCCCGGUGUGAUGCGGCGCGGCCGCUAGGCGGCGCUGUUCGCACAUGCGCAACUCCAGCGGUGAAGCCGGUCGCCGCUUUCCCGCCGUUGCGCGGCGGUAGGGCAGGCGGGCGCCGUGCGCAUGCGCAGCGUGGGCUGCCCGCGCUCUGCCGCCCUCGGGUGGGGAAGGGCCAGCAGCGUAGGUGGGCCCCCACCCCCGACGACGCAUGCGCGCUGCGGUCCGGCGGGGCGCGGCGGCGGUGGCCGUCAGGCUCCCGCAUGCGCAGUGCGGCGCCAUGUUGGGCUCCUGGGAAUGGCGGGAGCUGUAGUCUUCUGGCACUGGGCUUCCAGGGUGCCGUAGAGCAUUGCACACCAUCUCGGGAGCUGUAGUCUUUGGCGUAGCCUUCUUCGAACUCCUCUUGUUCCUUCAGAUUCCCUCCCCAGGCCCUCAUUUUUGUCUCUGAGCCGCCUUUUGUUCUGGCCCCUUCAGGACUUCCCUACUUCUGUCAGAAGUCCCGCUGAGUUCUUUGUGCCCCACAGCCGUCUUUUAUCCCUUUGGAUCCCUCUUGUUCCCUCAGAACGCCUCCUGAGGUCUUUUUUUUGUGCCCCGCAGCAGUUUUCAUCCCCUGUGCUAUCUAGGAUGACCCUGUUCACUCCCUCGCCCUGUGAUGACACCUGUACUCUGCUCGGAUCCCAUCCCGAGUUCUUCGCUGUGUCCCCAGGCAAGGGAAGGUGAGGAGCCACCAGCAGCUUUCGGUCCCGGCCACUUCUGGGUGGGAGCCCUGGAUGGUGGGUCUCCGUUUUGGACCCAGGCUCUGGCGAGAGCGAGGGGCUUGGUGAGGGUGAGGAUUAGGUGGUAGAGCAACCACAGAGCCCCACAAGCACCCCCACCCCAGCACAGCCCUUUUCCAGGGUGCUGACCUCCAGGGUUCCCCAGGGAUUUUCCCGGGCUUUGCCAGGGCACGGGCAUGGCCCUGCUGCCCUCCAGAGAGCCCCAGGGCCUUUGCUGGGCUUUGCUGGUACCUGCAAGGAGCCCUCCUUCUCUUCAGAAUUCCCUGAGUCCUUGUCCAUGUUCAGCCAAAGCCCUGGCAGGGCUCUCCUGCCUUCCAGAGAACCCCAGAGCUUUUGCCAGGAUCCGCAAGGAGCCGUGCAUCUCUCCGGAGUUCUCCGAGUCCUUUGCCAGGACCCUGCUGCCCUCCAGAUUUUCUUGGCACCUUCACCAGCCUUUGGAGGGGCCUGGGCAGUGUCCUCCUGCCCUCCAGAAAGCCCCAGAGCCUUCAGCGGGCUUUGCCUGGGCCCGGGCAGUGCUUGCUGUCCUUAAAGGGCGUUUUGGAAAAGGGCUCGUUCAUCUCGUGCAGUGAAGUUCCAUCUUGCUCCAGCUGAUGGCACGAUUGGGAGCGUGUAGAGCAGAGAUUUUUCCCAGGAAGAUAGACGGCAUGUUGGACAAAGUCCCAGUUCUCCCGCUCGAGUAUUUGAUACUGUACAGCGUGGGUCUCAGCCUCGCACCACACCAGUAUUCCCACCAAUAAUGAGUUCAGAGAAGAGCCUGUUUCUUAUAAAAGGAGAAAAUAAAUACAAGCCAGGGCAAGUCACUAGGUCAGAGAUGAGACAAGAAUUAUCUGCAGGACAAGCAACCAGCAGUUUGAGGCUGUAAAGGAGUUGAAGCCAUAGGAAUGGGCUCCCACCAGCAGGAGUUAAUGGCAUGUCAGUCCACAGGAGAGCUUCCUUCCAUAGCACAUGUGUGUUUGAGGCAAUAAUCCCUCCAGGGUUUCAGCUCCUUCUGUGUCUGACUUACAGCUGUGUAACCUUCCAAACACACAGCAAAGGCAUUUUUCUCUGGGAAAGUGUCAGCUCCCUUUGGCCUCACGCUGACAAUCAGCCAUUGUGUGUCCAUUUGGUGAUCCAAAGCGCCCUACAAGAGACUCCGAGUUGGCUGGGCUGAACACCUGGGCUUUCCUGGUGCAAUUGCAUACGGCAAACAGCCUUUGAGUUAAUACUGUGGUGUAUGGAGUGAAAUCGGGUCUCUGGGAUGGGAAUUCUGUGCCAUUUAGAGCAGCUAGUGGCUCAGUAACAUGUAGGUUAGGAAUGCGUGUUUACAAGGUCUUGCAAUGGCAAAAAUUGAUUAUACAUAUGGGGACAAAAGUCUACCUCCUGAUUUUCUCUGCAUUUUGUGGAUUCUGCUGUUUGAGCAAGAAAAAAAAUUAUUUAUUUCAGGGAGGCAGAUUUGCUUAAUCCUUUUCUUCCUGGCUCUGUCACUUGUAUCAGAGUAUGACCUUAGGAAGCACAUAAGCUUUGCUGCAAAAUUUCCGUAUCUUUAGCAUGACGAUAAUAACUAAUACCUCACAGGAUGCUGGAGCGAAACUAGUUAAUAUUCAAAAAGAUCUUUAAGCUUUUUAUUGAUUCAGAUCUUAAUAAAGCCAUUGCUUGCAACACAAGGUUUGCUUUCUAAAAUCAUUUUAAAACAGCAUAAACUCCAUAUUCUUUCUAAAACGUGAUGGCAAAUUCAUGAGAGCUCUUACAGGAUGGUUUCUGUCAUCUGAACAUCAUGUGUAGUUUUUGUUUGUUUUCUCUUCAUACAUUCUUAAUAAGAAAUCUUUGCAUUUGGAUUCUGAUUAAAAAAUGUCCUUGGCAGGGCAGUUUUUUAUUGUUGCCUGGCAGGUCUCAACACUUUCACAGAUGUUUCUCCAUCAUUUACAUUCAGAUUCUAUUUCUGCAGUUUUCUCUGUAACCAAAGUGCACCACUUCAUUAAUUUCUUUAUGGAAGCUGAGUUUUUGGAAUAAAAGGCAGCGACCUGAGGCAGUUGGUGUGUGCUCGGUUAUCGUAUCUCCAUAGCUGGAAUGGUAGCUCUCUGGGAACAUGAGAACAUAUGCAACUACAAGACCAGCCCUCUUUUAGUCAAUGAAACCGUGGACCAAAGUUUCAUGAGAUCCUUUUCCAACAGGUAUAGAUUAUCUCUCAGCAUGUUGUGGAAGGGACCUGCAUGAAGGGAAUCACUAGGGUCACUGUGGCAGUGCAUGUGCUUUUUUGCUCCUAUGUCAUGAUGUGAUCUAGCUGGGUUUUUGUAGGCCAGCAACCCAGCUGGUGGCAGACAGGGAGUAUGUAACUAAAACUAUGAUUUGGUAAGAAAGGAGCCUGCAUACCCUGACUUUCCUGGGUGGAGAGCUUGGCAGUCCUCAGAUAGUUCCUUUCCAGCUUGGGUUUUUCUUUCUCUUUGGCCUCAGGAGAAGGGGCCCGCUGGGGAGCUGCCCUUUACAAACCUUGUCUCUAUCUUCUUGCACCUUCACAAGGCUCCUGUGUUUAGUCUGGGGCUUGCUGUAACUUAGCAGCAUUAGGUAACUUAACAAUUACAGUAACCUGCAAGAAUGCCUGACUGAAAACCCCUCUGUGCCCGGCAAAGGGGCUCCACUGGGGAGGUGAGUGGGUUCAUGAUGUUGUACCCUCCCUCUUUUCCUUUUACAGCACUUCGAAGUCUAAUAAAAGCUGCUGAUUCCCA